UUUUUUUUUUUUUUCCCACAACUGUCCCCUGGAACAAUGGCUUCUGCUUGGAUCUUGGUUGCGCUUGUCCAUGCUGUCUUCAUGGUCAAGGGUUAUUUUUUGGCUUCAUUUGUUCUGUAGCUGAGUUUUUGUAGCAGAGGGGUGAAACAAGGGGAGUCCACUGUUGUGCCAAAAAAAAAGAUGUGUCUCCUGGUGAUUUUUCAUUUGAGAGACUUGUUCAACUUCUUAAUUCUCUGGCUUCAAUGUUGACGCUACAUACGACAGGAAAAUUCUGUCACACUGGUUCUUAAACUUUAACGUCCUGCUUGAAGGCACCAGUUGGAAUUUCUUGAACUAGAAAACUUCAAUGACUUCUUCCCACCAGACUUAUCAUGAACAGUCCAACCUGCAACUAAAGAUCUACUUCAAGACAAAGCGGGCCAACUAAAGAAUGACCAGCAGGGCUACAACAUGACCGGCAAGGGCAAACAACUGCACGACGCCCAGCAGGGCUAAAACGUGAGCGGCAACCAGCACAGUGAAUCCCUUAAAGUCCCAAGUGUCACCCUGGAUGAUGUCUCUGCAGAUCAGAGUUUCAUUGUGAAUGUUUGAUUUGCACAGCAUUAAAGUGAUUUUAUGUAA